rnacentral:rRNA from 1 species
GCGUGAGUGAUGAAGGCCUUAGGGUUGUAAAGCUCUUUUACCUGGGAAGAUAAUGACUGUACCGGGAGAAUAAGCCCCGGCUAACUCCGUGCCAGCAGCCGCGGUAAUACGGAGGGGGCUAGCGUUGUUCGGAAUUACUGGGCGUAAAGCGCACGUAGGCGGCCUGCCAAGUCAGAGGUGAAAGCCUGGGGCUCAACUCCAGAAUUGCCUUUGAGACUGGUAAGCUUGAACGUCGGAGAGGUGAGUGGAAUUCCGAGUGUAGAGGUGAAAUUCGU